UACGGGGGGGGCAAGCGUUGUUCGGAAUUACUGGGCGUAAAGGGCUCGUAGGCGGCCAACUAAGUCGGAUGUGAAAUCCCCAGGCUCAACUUGGGAACUGCAUCCGAUACUGGAUGGCUUGAAUUCGGGAGAGGGAUGCAGAAUUCCAGGUGUAGCGGUGAAAUGCGUAGAUAUCUGGAGGAAUACCGGUGGCGAAGGCGGCAUCCUGGACCGACAUUGACGCUGAGGCACGAAAGCUAGGGGAGCAAACAGG
rnacentral:rRNA from 1 species